GAUGAACGCUGGCGGCGUGCCUAAUACAUGCAAGUCGAGCGAAUGGAUUAAGAGCUUGCUCUUAUGAAGUUAGCGGCGGACGGGUGAGUAACACGUGGGUAACCUGCCCAUAAGACUGGGAUAACUCCGGGAAAUCGGGGCUAAUACCGGAUAACAUUUUGAACCGCAUGGUUCGAAAUUGAACGGCGGCUUCGGCGGUCACUUAUGGAUGGACGCGCGUCGCAUUAGCUAGUUGGUGAGGUAACGGCUCACCAAGGCAACGAUGCGUAGCCGACCUGAGAGGGUGAUGAGCCACCCUGGGACUGAGACACGGCCCAGACUCCUACGGGAGGCAGCAGUAGGGAAUCUUCCGCAAUGGACGAAAGUCUGACGGAGCAACGCCGCGUGAGUGAUGAAGGCUUUCGGGUCGUAAAACUCUGUUGUUAGGGAAGAACAAGUGCUAGUUGAAUAAGCUGACACCUUGACGGUACCUAACCAGAAAGCCACGGCUAACUACGUGCCAGCCGCCGCCGUAA
rnacentral:rRNA from 1 species